UCUUUGGCUGUUGCAGUAUUAUAUGCCCACGAUCAACAUAUAUCUACAACAAUUUCAAAGUUAAUGCUCAUUAUUCUUAAGGGGUGACAAUAGGGCAACAGAAUCUGAGCCGUUUAAAUGCUAAUGUAUUUGACCAUUAGGGGGCAGUGUAUGACACAUAUAAAAGAUUUUUGAUCUUUUAUAUAUUUGUCUCAUUCGUAUUUGUCGUUUUACUCUGCUCAUGCAGGGUAACUGUAAUGAGAAAACAGCAGAACUGAAACCGUCAUAGCAGGGGACAGAAUCACACGGUGUGUGGUCUACUAGCCAUGGAUAUUAUUGGAUGGCACGCUGAACUACACACCGCACUCAAGCAAACUCCUCUCUCACCAUGAGUUCCCAGUCUGCCUGUAAUAAUAUUGUUCCUUAAACUCUUCUACAAACACAUCACCUCUUUACUCCCCGCUCCCCUCAGUUAGCCUGCGUCGCGUUGGCGCCAGCAGUCACCAGAACUCUGGCACAGAGGCCAGGAAACGUGGUUAUCAUGCCAACCAUUGUGGUCAGUAAGAGGAACGCUUAUAGCCCAGUAACGAUGAUCUCCACAAGUCAUGAGAAUCCAGAAGAACUGAAGAAAAACAAACAGCGAUGGCCUGCGUUGGAAAAAGACCACAUGCAGCAGUUUCGAUAUUCUGAGGUUUGCCCUGGCUUGAGUUUGAAAUGCUGCAAUAGGAUCGCUUACUCACAGCAAAACGUCUGUGGGAUCUGCUGUGUGUAUGCCAGCCCAGGGGUCUCGGCUGGAUCCGCUUUACACAUGCAAUCCAUCCGGUGUGUGUGAUGCAAACUCACAUGGGUUAAACAUACUGCUCACGAACACAUCCCGGAUCAUGUUUGAGUUGAUGAGGAACCGAUGACAGCCGUGUAGAAUUCUCUAACUGCUGGCAUGUAGCAUUGCUUCUGUGGUGUACUGUAAACUGUCUCUGUCCCCAGUUGGGCCUGACUAAAGUACAAAAACAUCAGGCCGGUAUCGCCAUAUGACUGGAACAGUAAACAUUGACCUUUUCUGUU